CCACUAGAUUGCAUGUCCUUGAAGCAUGAUGGAAAGAAAUCGAUUGAAAGGAAGAAGCUAGGGAUUUCACCUCCAACACCCAGCCUAGCUCAUCUCCCAUGGUGGAUAUUUCGUCUCUGAUCAACCGAAUAGCUUCAAGGGAAUCAGAUUCCACUUCCAAAUGGGUGCAGUUCACCGCUACAGCGAAUUUUAUGCCUUCCAAAAUCCCCCAAAUUUCCGCCAAUAGAGGAGACAGGGGAGAAGGAUGUUGAAUCAUUGUUGUCACAAUAAGGAAACCAUUUGAAUCACGAAGCGCAGCUCCGAUGGAAGAUAAAUUUGGUCUACAGGCCGCGUCGGUGUUCAAUUUAAAGUAAUUUUCCGCCGGAGGUCGCCAUUGUUGGUGGGCUUGAGAAGUAUCGAUACUCCUGUUAGCGGAGGAGAAAUUUGCUUUCCAUGAAGAAAAGAAUUAUGGUCUGUCCAGAUAGUCCAACAUGAAUAGGAGAAAUCACUGGGAAAAGGAUCCGCCAGAUGGUUUUUGUGCGUUAAUAGAGAAAGAGAGCAUGGGUGGUACUCUCACAUUUCUUGAGGCAUAGAGGACAAACAGGGCAAGAGAUGGGUCUCUUGACGAAGAGCUUGCCAACCAGAAUCUUAUCGAUUUUGGAACUGAUAUCCACAGAAGCAGGUGCAUCAACAUUAAUGAAGGAAAAGGGAGACAACACAAAACAGAAUCAAACAAUUCUAAAGGAUCUGUCAAGACAGAGGAAAGCUCUCAUUGUGAGAGAUCGGCGUAUUGCAGUUGUUGUAGUAUGUUAUAUACAUUUAAUAUAUGAUAUACUAGUGAUAUACUAUUGAUAUGGGUAUUGG